UAGGGAAUUUUCGUCAAUGGGGGAACCCUGAACGAGCAAUGCCGCGUGUGUGAAGAAGGUCUUCGGAUCGUAAAGCACUGUUGUAAGUGAAGAAUGCCAUAUAGAGGAAAUGCUAUGUGGGUGACGGUAGCUUACCAGAAAGCCACGGCUAACUACGUGCCAGCAGCCGCGGUAAUACGUAGGUGGCAAGUGUUAUCCGGAAUCAUUGGGCGUAAAGGGUGCGUAGGUGGCACGAUAAGUCUGAAGUAAAAGGCAACAGCUCAACUGUUGUAUGCUUUGGAAACUGUCGAGCUAGAGUGCAGAAGAGGGCGAUGGAAUUCCAUGUGUAGCGGUAAAAUGCGUAGAUAUAUGGAGGAACACCAGUGGCGAAGGCGGUCGCCUGGUCUGUAACUGACGCUGAGGGCACGAAAGCAUGGGUAGCAAACAGGGAUUAGAUACCC
rnacentral:rRNA from 1 species